rnacentral:sRNA from 1 species
CGGCAACGGCGGCAAGAUGGCGGCGGCGGGAGCCCUGGAACGGAGCUUCGUGGAGCUAAGCGGAGCUGAGCGCGAAAGGCCGAGGCACUUUCGGGAAUUCACAGUCUGCAGCAUUGGGACUGCAAAUGCCGUGGCUGGCGCCGUAAAAUACAGUGAAAGCGCGGGAGGCUUUUACUAUGUGGAGAGUGGCAAGUUGUUCUCCGUGACCAGAAACAGGUUCAUUCAUUGGAGUUGGUAGUUGACAGUCAGAUGCAGUCAAUAUUCACUGACAUUGGAAAAGUUGAUUUCACAGAUCCUUGCAACUAUCAGUUAAUUCCAGCAGUACCUGGAAUAUCUCCUAAUUCCACC